UCAUGAUGGUUGCUAGGUCCGUUGCUAGGGUACCCAUGGUGGUUGCUAGGGUAUUCGGGGUGGUUGCUAGGGUGUUGCUAUGUGGUUGCUAGGGUACCCGGGGUGGUUGCUAGGGCGGUUGCUAGGGUCCCCAUGAUGGUUGCUAGGGCCGUUGCUAAGGUACCCAGGGUGGUUGCUAGGGUAAUUGGGGCGGUUGCUAGGGUGUUGCUAUGUGGUUGCUAGGGUACCCGGGGUGGUUGCUAGGGCGGUUGCUAGGGUCCCCAUGAUGGUUGCUAGGGCCGUUGCUAGAGUACCCAGGGUGGUUGCUAGGGUAAUUGGGGCGGUUGCUAGGGUGUUGCUAUGUGGUUGCUAGGGUACCCUGGGUGGUUGCUAGGGCGGUUGCUAGGGUCCCCAUGAUGGUUGCUAAGGUACCCUCGGUGGUUGCUAGGGUAAUCUGGGUGGUUGCUAGGGUCCCCAGGAUGGUUGCUAGGGCCGUUGCUAGGGUACCCAGGGUGGUUGCUAGGGUAAUCGGGGUGGUUGCUAGGGUGUUGCUAUGUGGUUGCUAGGGUACCCGGGGUGGUUGCUAGGGCGGUUGCUAGGGUCCCCAUGAUGGUUGCUAGGGCCGUUGCUAGGGUACUCAGGGUGGUUGCUAGGGUAAUCGGGGUGGUUGCUAGGGUGUUGCUAUGUGGUUGCUAGGGUACCCGGGGUGGUUGCUAGGGCGGUUGCUAGGGUCCCCAUGACGGUUGCUAGGGCCGUUGCUAAGGUACCCAGGGUGGUUGCUAGGGUAAUUGGGGCGGUUGCUAGGGUGUUGCUAUGUGGUUGCUAGGGUACCCGGGGUGGUUGCUAGGGCGGUUGCUAUGGUAACCUGGGUGGUUGCUAGGCAGUUGCUACGGUACUUGGGGGGGUUGCUAAGGUGUUGCUAGGCGGUUGCUAGGGUGUUUUGGCUGGUUGCUAGGCAGUUGCUAUGGUCUCCUGGGUGGUUGCUAUGAUGUUACUAGGUGGUUGGUAGUUGUCACAGAUGGUCACUAUGUAGUUAUUAUAGAGUUCUUAGCCCAUUUGAGCACUUAGCUAAUCACUAUUAGCAUGUAGCUAAUCAUUGCUAGCAUGACUAGCAUGUUGGAAGUCCAGUGUGCUAGCAUGUGUCAAAAAAAUCCAACCGCCAUGUCUGUACGAUGUUCUGAUGCAGAGAUAUAGGUCGUGCAAAACGGUUGCUAGGGUACUCCGUUUGGUUGCUAUGGAGUGGCUUGGCAGCUGCCAAUGGUGAUACUCCAAAGGCUGCUGGCCAAUAUAAACCAACCCCCAUGCCUCUACGAUGUUCU